rnacentral:rRNA from 1 species
AACGAACGCUGGCGGCAGGCCUAACACAUGCAAGUCGAGCGAAGCCUUCGGGCUUAGCGGCGGACGGGUGAGUAACGCGUGGGAACGUGCCCUUUGCUACGGAAUAGCCCCGGGAAACUGGGAGUAAUACCGUAUGUGCCCUUCGGGGGAAAGAUUUAUCGGCAAAGGAUCGGCCCGCGUUGGAUUAGGUAGUUGGUGGGGUAAUGGCCUACCAAGCCGACGAUCCAUAGCUGGUUUGAGAGGAUGAUCAGCCACACUGGGACUGAGACACGGCCCAGACUCCUACGGGAGGCAGCAGUGGGGAAUCUUAGACAAUGGGGGAAACCCUGAUCUAGCCAUGCCGCGUGACCGAUGAAGGCCUUAGGGUUGUAAAGAUCUUUCAGUGGGGAAGAUAAUGACUGUACCCACAGAAGAAGCCCCGGCUAACUCCGUGCCAGCAGCCGCAGUAA